rnacentral:rRNA from 1 species
GACGAACGCUGGCGGCGUGCUUAACACAUGCAAGUCGAACGGAACGGCCCUGCUUUUGUGGGAUGCUCGAGUGGCGAACAGGCGACUAACACCUGAGUUACCUGCCCUUGACUUUGGGAUAACUUCAGGAAACUGGGGCUAAUACCGGAUAGGCGCUCCUUCUGCAUGGUGGUGGUUGGAGAGAUUCGGCGGUUGGGGAUGGACUCGGGGCUUAUCAGUUUGUUGGUGGGGUGGUGGCUUACCAAGGCUUUGGCGGGUAGGCGGGCUGGGAGGGUGACCGGGCAAAAUGGGAAUGGGAUACGGGCCAUAAUUCUACGGGAGGCAGGAGGGGGGAAUAUUGCACAAUGGGACGAAGACUGAUGCAGCAACGCCGCGUGCGGGAGAACGACCUUCGGGUUGUAAACCGCUUUCGCAGGUGACGAAGCGUGAGUGACGGUAAUGGGUAAAGAAGAAACGGCUAACUACGUG